AGUGAGUAGCUUGCUAUGAGCUGUUUUAGCGGCGGACGGGUGAGUAACGCGUGAGCAAUCUGUCCCAGACAGGGGGAUAACAGAUGGAAACAUCUGCUAAUACCGCAUAAGACCACGAGGUCACAUGAUCUUGGGGUAAAAGGAGAAAUCCGGUUUGGGGUGAGCUCGCGUCCGAUUAGGUAGUUGGUGAGGUAACGGCCCACCAAGCCCGCGAUCGGUAGCCGACCUGAGAGGGUGAUCGGCCACAUUGGAACUGAGACACGGUCCAAACUCC
rnacentral:rRNA from 1 species